rnacentral:lncRNA from 1 species
CUAACCCAAAGUGGAGAUCAACAAACCCAGAUCACCAAGAGCUUUACCGAUUGUCAACUUUGCUUCAGAUCUUAGUCAAAUCAAGAAAACCACCCCUGCAGAAUAAAUUGAAAGAAAAUACGCAACAACAAAAACACCCAGCUUAUUUAUGCAGCAAAAUGGAGGCAAUAGAAUAAAAAUAAUUUAGGGUUUAAACGGAAAUCAGUGAAUUUAAGUACGUGGGGGUCAGAUUCCGGCGAGUAACGACGGCGAAAAUGAAGAUUCCGUCAAAUCGGCGACCAGAAAUAGUUAAAAUAUGAUAAUGUCAUGAUUAUCAAAGUGAAAGUAAGCGCAGUUAAUAAAUAAGUAGAAUUGAAUACGGAGGGAAGCAACCAACGGUGCGCGGCUGUGCGUUAUGCGCAUACCUUCCUUUUUCCUACCUCAAUAGAUGUGUUUGGUUAUAGAGAAAAGUGGACCUUCUAA